rfam:Gasterosteus aculeatus cont1.007892, whole genome shotgun sequence.
CAAACGGCUCUUUUGAGAGCCACCCAUACAUUAUUAUUAAAAAAA